AGUGAACGCUGGCGGUAGGCCUAACACAUGCAAGUCGAACGGCAGCACAGUAAGAGCUUGCUCUUACGGGUGGCGAGUGGCGUACGUGUGAGGUAUACAUCGGAAUCUACUUUUUCGUGGGGGAUAACGUAGGGAAACUUACUCUAAUACCGCAUACGACCUACGGGUGAAAGCAGGGGAUCUUCGGACCUUGCGCGAUUGAAUGAGCCGAUGUCGGAUUAGCUAGUUGGCGGGGUAAAGGCCCACCAAGGCGACGAUCCGUAGCUGGUCUGAGAGGAUGAUCCGCCACACUGGAACUGAGACACGGUCCAGACUCUUACGGGAGGCAGCAGUGGGGAAUAUUGGACAAUGGGCGAAAGCCUGAUCCAGCCAUACCGCGUGGGUGAAGAAGGCCUUCGGGUUGUAAAGCCCUUUUGUUGGGAAAGAAAAGCAGCAGGUUAAUACCGCGCUGUUCUGACGGUACCCAAAGAAUAAGCAACGGCUAACUUCGUG
rnacentral:rRNA from 1 species